AGUGAACGCUGGCGGUAGGCCUAACACAUGCAAGUCGAACGGCAGCACAGUAAGAGCUUGCUCCUACGGGUGGCGAGUGGCGGACGAGUGAGGAAUACAUCGGAAUCUACUUUUUCGUGGGGGAUAACGUAGGGAAAGUUACGCUAAUACCGCAUACGACCUACGGGUGAAAGCAGGGGAUCUUCGGACCUUGCGCGACUGAAUGAGCCGAUGUCGGAUUAGCUAGUUGGCGGGGUAAAGGCCCACCAAGGCGACGAUCCGUAGCUGGUCUGAGAGGAUGAUCAGCCACACUGGAACUGAGACACGGUCCAGACUCCUACGGGAGGCAGCAGUGGGGAAUAUUGGACAAUGGGCGCAAGCCUGAUCCAGCCAUACCGCGUGGGUGAAGAAGGCCUUCGGGUUGUAAAGCCCUUUUGUUGGGAAAGAAAAGCAGCAGGUUAAUACCCCGCUGUUCUGACGGUACCCAAAGAAUAAGCACCGGCUAACUUCGUG
rnacentral:rRNA from 1 species